GACGAACGCUGGCGGCGUGCUUAACACAUGCAAGUCGAACGGAAAGGCCCUGCUUUUGUGGGGUGCUCGAGUGGCGAACGGGUGAGUAACACGUGAGUAACCUGCCCUUGACUUUGGGAUAACUUCAGGAAACUGGGGCUAAUACCGGAUAGGAGCUCCUGCUGCAUGGUGGGGGUUGGAAAGUUUCGGCGGUUGGGGAUGGACGCGCGGCUUAUCAGCUUGUUGGUGGGGUAGUGGCUUACCAAGGCUUUGACGGGUAGCCGGCCUGGGAGGGUGACCGGCCACAUUGGGACUGAGAUACGGCCCAGACUCCUACGGGAGGCAGCAGUGGGGAAUAUUGCACAAUGGGCGGAAGCCUGAUGCAGCAACGCCGCGUGCGGGAUGACGGCCUUCGGGUUGUAAACCGCUUUCGCCUGUGACGAAGCGUGAGUGACGGUAAUGGGUAAAGAAGCACCGGCUAACUACGUG
rnacentral:rRNA from 1 species